rfam:Candidatus Burkholderia verschuerenii strain TZHbot4 BVERctg116, whole genome shotgun sequence.
GGAGGGCAUCCGUACCCGGUGGUGCGGCCGGGCUUCAAACUCGGUUGGGGAUGUCAGACAUUCCCAGAUCAGUUCGACUCUGGUUGCCCUCC